GUAGGUGGCAAGCGUUGUCCGGAAUUAUUGGGCGUAAAGCGCGCGCAGGCGGGUCUUUAAGUCUGAUGUGAAAGCCCACGGGCUCAACCGUGGAGGGUCAUUGGAAACUGGAGAACUUGAGUACAGAAGAGGAAAGCGGAAUUCCACGUGUAGCGGUGAAAUGCGUAGAGAUGUGGAGGAACACCAGUGGCGAAGGCGGCUUUCUGGUCUGUAACUGACGCUGAGGCGCGAAAGCGUGGGGAGCAAACAGGAUUAGAUACCCUGGUAGUCCACGCCGUAAACGAUGAGUGCUAAGUGUUAGGGGGUUUCCGCCCCUUAGUGCUGCAGCUAACGCAUUAGGCACUCCGCCUGGGGAGUACGGCCGCAAGGCUG
rnacentral:rRNA from 1 species